GUGUACAGGUCCCCAGUUUGGGCUCACCCUAGGCAGGAGCUUUCCGACAAGGCCUCACUACCCACAGCGUCGUCCGGAGGAAGUUCUCGAGGGCUAUGAGGUCCACUUCCGGUCAUGUCCAGUGAAUUCUUCCUCUGCUGUGCUGAGUGUGCUGGCCUGAAACCAAGGGUGUCGUUUCAUUCCCAACCUCCGGGCUGAUUCUGGGCACAGGAAACAGCGGCCUGAGAUCAGUUUUCAUCUUGGAAGCUACAGCAUUUCUGAGUUGGCAGGAGAUUCUGAUUCCAGUGAAUACCCCAGCAAAUUUGGCAAUGAGAGUAAAACUUCUGGAAGUUCCUGAAUCACGUAAGAGGUUCUGUGGACACAUAAUAGUCAGGUGGGGCAGCCCCUUUACUGACCAGACAUAUAGUGGCUGCGAGCAGCGGGGAAGCUGGGCUACGAGCUGAGGUAAUAGGCUUCCCUCACCCCAGGCCCCCUGGUCUGAGAGGUAGGGCUUGGAACAAAUCUGUUUCUUAGGAGGACAGACCAAGUGUCACCGCAUUCACUUUGACUCAACCAUCCCCCAUUCCCCUCUCCUUUAAAAUCCUCAGUUUGAUUCCCGGAGUCCAGAAUCUCUCAUGAUCCGUCUCCCCCUCUGAUUCUGCCCCCCUUCAUUUUUCGCUUCCUUCUCCUAAUGUCCUCCAUGCUGUUCCUUAUGUUCCACGAAUAAGUGAAACCAUAUGGUAAGUAUCUUUCUGUUUGACUUACUUCACCUAACAUGAUCUCCUCCAGCUCCAACCAUGUUGAUGCUGAUAGGCAUCUCUUAAUCAGAUUUUGAAACUAGAUAAUGGCCAUGGGUGUCUGUGUCUCACAUGUGAGAAAGUUAUUUGGGGAGAUGGAGCAGUUACUGAAGGGCCUAAGCCAUUGUGCAGAUGUUACUCACAUGACUAAGGGAAACUCAGGAGAAACACAACUCUUAGUUAAAAAUUUAGAUUACCAGGCUCUAGAGUUGGGUAAUAUUUUAUAAGGAAUUAUACAGUAGUACUCAGAUAACUUAGGCAAUAAAGCAUCACAACAAUUUGUAAAAUUAGUAUAUGAUAGAGAAGUUUUGCAUGUUGAUAAUCAAGAAUUUGCUUUAACCGUCCACUAUUAGUAUGAUAUACUUAAAGGUUUUUCCCCCAAGGCAAAUAAUGUACUGAACUUAUCCUACUUUAUUUUUGGAAUUGCUUUGCCUUAUAAUUUACUAUGGACUUACUGGCUAUAUAGAUGGCUGCGGUUUGCCCAGAGAAAGAUAGCAGUGGCAAUGGAGAGAAUUCGUAAAACCGUACUGUUACUAUUUUGUAGUAACAAAGGUAGGGUAUCAUAAGGAUAAAAGAGUUAAAAAUAAAAAAGUUUUAUUCUUCUGGUGCCACUAAAUGGCGGGGUGGGGGGGGAGUCUCAUCACCCUCACCUUUUUAAAAAGCAUUUACUUUAAAAAGAUGUAAAUAGAAAACCUUUCUCUUGGAAAAGCUGAAGAAACUUCUCAACAAUUUUACGUCCCAGGAAUGUUUUCGUUCGGAUAAAGCUAUCACAGAGGACCACCCCAGUGAGCAUGCGCAGUUAGGAAGAAAUAGGUGUGACAAAUGGACACAUGACAUCCUCUUCCUGGCAGACUAGUUCUCUUUCCUCUUGAGAAAAUGUACAGAAUGUGUUGUAUCAGCUUGGUGACAUAGAAGAGGAACGUUUCUUUUCGACUUUGCUUUUGCUUACUGAGCCAUAAAACUUUGUUCUUUCCUCCAUGAUCAUGGUGAAUACUGUCCGAGCCCCGUGACCCGGGACAGCAGUGAACGUCAGGAAGUCCACCUCCUUUGAAUUCCAGGAAACAGCUCACCUCAAAGGUCCAUUCUCCGUAUGAGUUAGAAAUAAGAGUGCUCUGGUCCAAGAAGGUGAUGGAGGAAGACGCUGAAGUCCCCUCCUCCAUGGAGAUACCAAAUCUACACCUAUUUAUAGAACAAUUCCUUCUGGAGCCGAACUAAGUGCUGACUGAACACCUUCUGCGGAACGGAAGACAGGCCAUGAAGAGAGUGGCAAGAGAGAUGAAAAGAAGGACUUGACUCCUUCUGGUCUCCGCAUGGGCUCUCGGGCCCCAUAAGAACUCAGAGCAUGGAGGAUGUCCAUCUGGUGCCUGGUGGUCCUGGGGUACUUUUCCUGCAUCAAAUGUCUGGUCAUGAGCUUCCUGGCCUCCCACAGGUGAAGAGUUUCCUCCCAGCCUACAGCGCCAUUAUGUUCAGGAAUUCUUCAAUCUAUUCCUCAGCAGAGCGGUAGCCCUUCCUGGUCACGCCCAGGAGAGUCUUCUGGAGACCAGUCUCGGGCAGCUGCUGCCACCAUUUAAGCUCCCGUCACUGGUGACAACCAGUUUGCUGACAAGGCCAUAGAAAUGCUUGGCAGAGUGCAUGUCUUUGAACUUAAGGCAAAAGACUACCUGCCAAGUGUUCAGAGGCAUUCAGAAGGCCACAAAGAAGAGUUCUUUGUAUUCUUUUCAGCAUGUCUGCCUUCGUCAUGACUGUUCAUUUUAUAUUUGAGCAAGAGGGACUAUACCAACAACGUUACCUUCUUGCUGGGAAGGUCUCGGCGUGACUAUGCACACCGACAUCUACCAGUCAUGUGGUCUGCGAGCACGCAUCCAUGCUCAAGGGUUACUGAAAAGAAAUACUGGCCUUACCAAUGUGAUUUACUGUGAUAUUUGCUAAUUCGAAGCCAUACACUAAAUUCAAAUAAUAAUAAAGGCUCGU